CAGUGGUGAGGUUGUUUAUGAAAACGAUGUAUAUGAUCCAAACAAUAUGCCUCCUGUCCAAACUGCACCCACUAGUCAGCUAGAAAUAACCAGCCAUAGCAACAGAGAGCAGCUGAACACUAGAAAACCAUACUAUG